rnacentral:snoRNA from 1 species
AUACCAUGGCGAGGGCACUCCCUUUGCCAGUCUUUGAAUCUUUCCCAAACCUCAUAUAAGCUUUCUUCGGUCUGUUGGAAAACAGAAAUGAUUUGGCCU